rnacentral:rRNA from 1 species
UACGGAGGGGGCUAGCGUUGUUCGGAAUCACUGGGCGUAAAGCGCACGCAGGCGGAUUGAUAAGUCAGGGGUGAAAUCCCGGGGCUCAACCUCGGAAUUGCCUUUGAUACUGUCUGUCUUGAGUUCGGGAGAGGUUGGCGGAAUUCCUAGUGUAGAGGUGAAAUUCGUAGAUAUUAGGAAGAACACCAGUGGCGAAGGCGGCCAACUGGCCCGAUACUGACGCUCAUGUGCGAAAGCGUGGGGAGCAAACAGG